rnacentral:misc_RNA from 1 species
AAGUCGUAACAAGGUUUCCGUAGGUGAACCUGCGGAAGGAUCAUUAUCGAUUUGAAUCGGAGUUGUCGCUGGCCUUUUCGGAGGCAUGUGCACGCUUCGGCCUUCAUAUUCCAAACCCCUGUGCACUACCGUAGGCCCGAGGUCAUCACUGACCGAGGACUAUGCAUUUUUACUUAUAAACGAAUGUCCAUGAAUGUCUUCUAUCUUUGGUGCCCUAAGAAAGCACUCGAAGUUUUUAAAUACAACUUUCAACAACGGAUCUCUUGGCUCUC